ensembl:lncRNA
GCUUAAGCAAGUGCACCUUUUAAUGCAGGCUAAUGAAGUUCCUGCCAGGGGCUUUUGCAGGUGCAACCUCAGUGGUCCGGGAAGAAAUGUGUUGUGCAAAAAGGCUGUACACACUGAGAUUGUGUCCAAAAAUUCCAUACCGUGACAAAUUAAAUGAAGUCGUCUGUUGAAGUACGCUAGACAAGAGAUUGUCCAACAGCAAAGUGUAACUCCUUGCAGAAAAUUCAACGCUUUUACAAUUUCGUGUUCAUGAGUCUGUGGCCAAACAGUCAACUACAACAGGCAAGUAUGUCAAGUUACAAAAAGUCAUGGGUGACAUCUUAUGCUAGUUAAACUGUCAUGCUAGUGCCUACCAGCUUCCUCUUUGGAACUUAAUGGAUCCAUUUAAGGGCUGAAUUCUCAUACUAUGCAGUAAGAUUAAUAACUGGUUAAGAAAAUGUACAUGUUUGAAGACAUUCUGUACAGACUAUAUUUGUUGAUUGAUAGGUUAAACCACUCCAGGCAUCAUAAAAAUCAAAUACACCGAAUCCAUUCUAUAGGAGCCUGUGGUACAAUAAAUGGACUAGGAGGAAUGGGCUACAGGUGAAGAGUAUUGAGGCCCAUAAAAUCCAGUUGAAGCUAGAACAUUUAGAAUGGGCUGCGUCUCAAUCCACUGCAGCCGCCUGUCGCCCUUAAGCAUCUGCGCUGGACAGGGGCCGAGCUACAGUGGUGUUGGUCAGACACCUCAAAAUGCAGUCUCAAAAACAUUUAGCGUCAGAACGGUUUGUCCUACAAACAUUAUGGAAAAUUGACUCCCGAACAUAGUUAAUUUCCCUCUUUGACCCCACAGUUGUAAGACACAUCUGAAGGUAACCCAUACAAACAGAAGUAUCGAUGUAGAUGUGCCAACAGGGGUUGAAGCAUCCAAAACAUUUGAGGCAUCACCUAGAUACUGGACAGACACUUCUAAACUGAUUUGACUCGUUGCCAUUUGUGGUGUGGGCUAUAGUAUAAGGCCAAAUAUAAGUUUGAAACCAAAAUGUUCACACAAUCCUAAUAGCUAAAUGAGCCAUGGUCUGACCAUCUAAAAACAAUUUCCUAUGUUAAUUUACUCACCAACAACUUACACUGAGGUUGAAGACAGUCUCACUGUAUACAAUGCAUGCCUACAUCUAAAGUAUGAACAUAUGAUGAAUGUCUGACAACUCACCCCUUCACAAAUGCUCUCAUGUAGACCCAAGCUUUUAUUUUGAACAACCAGUAGCAAAGGUAAAAGAUGAACAACCAAAGAAUUAACUGAACAGUCAUUUUUACAAGACUGCACACCACCUGUUCUCAAUUCGCAAGCAAUGGACACGAGAAUCAUUAUUUCAAAGAGACAAGGCAUUUUUGAAAGUAAAAUUGUUGAUGUUUUCCAUAACUCUAGAGUAGCAAGAGCACCAGCAACGUCCUGGUCGAAACAAAAGCAGAAAGAAAUGCAGUGUCAGCAACACAGAAUGUUAAGUAACCAAUGUCAAAAACAAUACUCACCAUUAGAGCUUCUAGAGGAUGAAUCCAUUACAUUUUCCUGUUGAUAGAUAUAUGGUUAGUACAAAGGACUUCAAAUUCAGAGAGCAAAGUUCAGAGCAGGUUAAAGUGAAGCAUUACCUUGCAGAAUCCUUCACUAGUGGUGGAUAUAUGCUUGGUGCACCAAUGCUAACAUAACCGUCCUUGGGAGCAUUUCCACUGUCAACAGAAAUAGCCUCCCUAGGAGUGUAGCUGAUUUGGGAAGAGACAGUUCUGCCAUUCUCGUAGUGCGAUUUGGAACUGUAGGAAUAGCUUGGGAUGACACCCGACUGUUCAACGAUGCUGGCCUGAGCGCUACCAGAGGCACCAUCUUCAGUGCUUUGGUAGUGCUUCUGCUGAGAAUUUGGGGCCAGUUGCUUCUGGGUCAUUUGAGCUACAUGCCAUAAUUGCUGUGGCAUGGCGGUCAGUUGCUGCUGUGGCAUGGCAGUGUGUAGCUUCGGCUGCUGGGACAUUUGAGCUGGAUACCACACUUGCUGGGAUACGGCGGGCGGCUGCUCCUGCGGUAGAGGGGUGGAUGCCGGUUGCUUCUUCGGAGAUUGAGCUGGAUGCCACACUUGCUGAUGCUUCUGCGGCAUGGCGGUCAGUGCAGCGACUUGUUGCUUCUGGACCAUUUUAGCUGGAUACCACACGUCGUGAGGCUGCUGGGGUAUAGGGGCCGGUUGCUUCUGUGCCAGAUGCCACACUUGCUGAAGCAUGGCAGCUGGUUGCUUUUGCUGCUGUGGCAUUUGAGCUGGAUGCCACACUUGCGGGGGCAGGGUGGCCUGUUCCUUCUGCGGUUGAGGCAUUGGGGCUGGUUGCUUCUGCAGCAUGGUGGCCAGUUGUUUCUGCUGCUGGGACAUUUGAGCUGGAUACCAUGCUUGCUGGAGUAAAGCUGUUGGUUGUUUCUGCUGGAUAGGCAUUGGGGCCAGUUGCGUCUGCAGCAUUUGAGCUGGAUGCCACUCUUGCUGGGGCAUGGCGGUCGGUUGCUUCUGCGGCAGAGGCAUGGAGGCCAGAUGCUUCUGGGGCAUUUGACCUGGAUAUCUCACUUGCUGGGGUAUGGUGGCCGGUUCCUGAUGCUGCUGGGGAAGGUGCACUGGAUGCAACUCUUGCUGCGUUAUGGUGGCCAGUUGCUUCUGCUCCUGGGGCAUUUGAGCUGGAUACCACACUUGCUGAGGCACGGUGGUCAGUUCCUUCUGCCGCCGAGCUGCAGCGGCUCGUUGCUUCUGGACCAUUUUAGCUGGAUACCACACGUCAUGAGGCUGCUGGGGAAUGGGGGCCAGUUGCCACACUUGCUGAAGCAUGGCAGCCGGUUGCUUAUGCAGCUGGGGCAUUUGAGCAGAAUGCCACAGUUGUGGUGGAAUGGCGGUCAGAUCCUUCUGCAGUUGACGCAUAGGGACUGGUUGCUCCUGGGGAAAUUGAGCUGGAUGCCACAUUUGCUGAGGCUGGGGCAUGGCGGUCAGGUCAAUCUGCUGCUGAGGUUCAGCGGCGGGUUGAUUCUGCUGCUGGGGCUUUUGAGCUGGAUACCACACUUGCUGGGGCAUGGCAGUCAGUUGCUUCUGCGGCUUUUGAGCUGGAUGCAACACUUGCUGAGGUUCAGUAGCUGGUUGCUUUUGCUGCUGGGGCAAUUGAGCUGGAUGCCACACUUGCUGGUGAAUGGUGGCCGGUUGCUUCUGCUGUAUUUGAGCUGGAUACCAUGUUUGCUGGGGCAUAGCUGUUGGUUGUUGCUGCGGUAUAUCCAUUGGAGCCUGUUGCUUCUGGGGCAUGGUGGUCAGUUCCGUCUGCUGCUGAGGCCCAGUAGCUGGUUGCUUUUGCUGCUGGGGAAUUUGAACUGGAUACCACAUUUUCUGAGGUGCCUGGGGCAUGGGGGCCAGUUGCUUUUCCUGCUGGGGCAUUUGAGUUGGAUACCACAUUUUCUGAGGUGCCUGGGGCAUGGGGGCCAGUUGCUUUUGCAGGAUGGAGGCCAGAUGUUUCUGUUGCUCUUCGGUCAGCUGCGCUUGCAAUUGAGCUGUUGGAGAGAUGUAUUUUCCAUAGCCUUUAGACCGAAGUGAGCCUGCAUAGAGACAUACUGCAUCAGAACCUGGUGCAUGAUAGCCAUCACCUAGGUUAGAAACAAAGUAAAAUGCCAGCCUUGGAAGUAAUUGGAACCGCAACUGUUACUUGAAAUUAAUGUGUAGAAACUCACUUGAUGUAGAACAGGUUAUCCCGCCAAUUAGCAGGCAACAAAACCAAGAAACUCUAAAAA